rnacentral:rRNA from 1 species
UACGAAGGGGGCUAGCGUUGUUCGGAAUUACUGGGCGUAAAGCGCGCGCAGGCGGUCCUUCAAGUCAGAGGUGAAAGCCCAGAGCUCAACUCUGGAAUGGCCUUUGAGACUAGAGGACUUGGGUACGGGAGAGGUGAGUGGAAUUCCGAGUGUAGAGGUGAAAUUCGUAGAUAUUCGCAAGAACACCAGUGGCGAAGGCGGCUCACUGGCCCGGUACUGACGCUGAGGUGCGAAAGCGUGGGGAGCAAACAGG